rnacentral:lncRNA from 1 species
AUAUAAGGUUAGUGUGUCAAUGGACGAACCGGUAUAUCAAUAGUUAAAUACGUGGACUAAUAUUAAUAAAAGGAGUGCUAACAAUACCAACUCUAACACUCUUUUAUUGGGUGAAACUCGUCUAAGUCCCACUAUUUUGAGUCUUUUGUCUGUCUCCUUUCCAAGAACUCAAGAGCUUGUUGCGACCAAAACACAGUUCCAAAUAUCAUAACUGCUUCCUAAUGCAUAACUAGAGCUAAAUAAUAUAAAACUGUCUAAUUAGCUCAGACCA